AAUAGUCUAACGACUGAACCAGCAACUUGGAGGAAUGAAUAGCGGUAGCUAAUUGCACUACCUCGUAGUGUAAUAUCGACUAUGUUGAAUAAAAUUCUGGGUAAAAUUAUGAUAAUGACAUUGUUUACCUAUGUGUCUUGACCAAAUUACGUGCCAGCAGUCGCGGUAAUACGUAGAAGACUAGUGUUAUUCAUCUUUAAUAGGUUUAAAGGGUACCUAGACGGUAAAUCAAGCCCUUGCGUAGCAAGAUGGGACUAAUUUGCUAGAGUUACUUACAAGGAGGCUAUAAAGUACUAAUGGUGUAGAGAUGAAAUUUUGUAAUACCAUUUUCCAAAAGGAAAGUUAUGGCACUGAUAAAGGCGAAAGCAUCCUCUUAUGUGAUAACUGACGUUGAGGGACGAAGGCUUUGGAUCGCGAAUAGGAUUAGAUACCCUAGUAGUCAAAGCAGACAAUGAUGAGUGUCAUAGAUUAGAUAUUUAGGUUUAUUCUAUAAAUGAAAGUGUAAGCACUCCACCUCAAGAGUAAUUUGGCAACAUUGGAACUGAAAUCAUUAGACCGUUUCUGAAACCAGUAGUGAAGUAUGUUGUUUAAUUUGAUAAUCCGCAAAAAACCUUACCACAACUUGAAUAGAGAUAUAUAUCAUAUUUUUACAAGCGUUGCACGGCUGUCUACAGUUAAUGUCGUGAGACUUUGGUUAGAUCCAUUAAAUUAACGCAAGCCCUUACUUUAUUUUUAAAUAAAGUCGUUCUCCGCUAUAUUGGAUAUGAUAACAGGGACUAAGACAAGUCAUCAUGGCCUUAAUGUUGUGGGCUAUAGACGUGCCACAUAGACCUUUACAAAAGGAUGUGAAAUUGUGAAAUUAAGCUAAUCCCCCAAAACUGGAUAUAAUCUUAAU
rnacentral:rRNA from 1 species